GCGGUAAAAUGCGUAGAUAUUAUGGAAGAACACCAGUGGCGAAGGCGGCCGCCUGGCCUGUUGCUGACGCUGAGGCACGAAAGCGUGGGGAGCAAAUAGGAUUAGAUACCCUAGUAGUCCACGCCGUAAACGAUGAGGACCAAGUGUUGGGGGUGAAACCUCAGUGCUGAAGUUAACGCAGUGAGUCCUCCGCCUGGGGAGUAUGCACGCAAGUGUGAAACUCAAAGGAAUUGACGGGGGCCCGCACAAGCGGUGGAGUAUGUGGUUUAAUUCGAAGCAACGCGAAGAACCUUACCAGGCCUUGACAUGGGAUGCGAAGACGCAGAGAUGCGUUGGAGGCAAACAUCCACACAGGUGGUGCAUGGUUGUCGUCAGCUCGUGUCGUGAGAUGUUGGGUCAAGUCCCGCAACGAGCGCAACCCUUGUGGCAUGUUGCUAACAGGAAAGCUGAGGACUCAUGCCAGACUGCCGGUGACAAACCGGAGGAAGGCGGGGAUGACGUCAAAUCAUCAUGCCCCUUAUGGCCUGGGCUACACACGUACUACAAUGGCGGCUACAAAGAGCGGCGAGACAGUAAUGUCGAGCGAAUCUCAUAAAAGCCGUCCCAGUUCGGAUUGGAGCCUGCAACCCGGCUCCAUGAAGUUGGAAUCGCUAGUAAUCGCGGAUCAGCAUGCCGCGGUGAAUACGUUCCCGGGCCUUGUACACACCGCCCGUCAAG
rnacentral:rRNA from 1 species